UACCAGCACCCCGAGUGGUCGGGACGUUUAUUGGGCCUAAAGCAUCCGUAGCCGGUUCUACAAGUCUUCCGUUAAAUCCACCUGCUUAACAGAUGGGCUGCGGAAGAUACUAUAGAGCUAGGAGGCGGGAGAGGCAAGCGGUACUCGAUGGGUAGGGGUAAAAUCCGUUGAUCCGUUGAAGACCACCAGUGGCGAAGGCGGCUUGCCAGAACGCGCUCGACGGUGAGGGAUGAAAGCUGGGGGAGCAAACCGG
rnacentral:rRNA from 1 species